UACGGUACUGCACCAAAAAAUAUAAGGUGAAAAUCUCAAAUUCGAUGAAUCAUACAGUCUUACGAAAAAACUGCCAAACGUAUUAGAAGAACCCAAACUAUGUUCUGCAAAAUUUUACAUGAAGACAUCUCCUGAUAGAAAUUCAGAAACCAUGGCCAGAGGAAAACGACAGCACAAGAUUGUAAGAAAAUACUUAGAGAUUUGAAGAAAGCAGGUCUUUAGAUUCUAGAUAUCAAAACAAUUAUGGUAAAUCCAUUGUUGUAGAUUACUCUGGUUCUGAAAGUAACUUCAUAAAGGCCUUGGAUUUUCGAUCUGAUGCAGCUGUCAAAUUGAUCUGUUCAGCAAUUUGUAGCCGUGUAGGAUGGGAGUGCCGGAGUAGAGAUCGAUUUGUGGGAAAAAUCGGGGGAUUGUUUCUCAGUUUGGGUGGGAACCCAUGGGAGAAGGAAGAAAUCAUGGGUUCUCCCGGUUUCUGUCUUCCCCCUAUUCAACCAAAGACGGGACAAACCUAUCUCUGAAAAUAAUAAAACCCCUUUCGAACCCAUGAUCCCUCAUGCUGUUUAGAAAUCUAAACGGAUCAUUUAAAACACUGUCCAUUAAAAACGGGACACGAAAUGGAAAUUUAAUGCAUGCUAGGAGCAGAUCGAUCUGGAAUAAUAUUAUUUUUAUCAGGAAGUCAACUAUGAGAAACAACAAACUCGAAGAAUCCUGCGAUUCAAAACCAAUGGGGCGGCCUGAUGCUACAAUCCCAGGGAUGGGCGAAUCAUUUACGGAUGUUUCUACUGCCUGAAGGUGACGGCGGCAGCGGCGAAUAGAAUGCACUGAUUGACUUUUUCCGGAUAGGAAUUAGAGACGGCAGGACGGGAUUCUUCACUGGCAUCGAAGACGGUUUUUGGAGUGGAUGUUGCAGUUUCCGAAAAGUUCGAUUUCUCUAUCGGGAAAGAGGGCAAAGAACCGAAGGACCAGUCAACAAAGACUUCCAAUUGCAGCCGAAGCGACUUGCGAUUUCGAAGAAACGGUUCGGGAGAACAUAAUUUUUUUUAAAACCGCCGUGCAAGUAAUGGAGAAAGCGAAGAAUAUAGCAUCCUGCAAAUAGAGGAGGGUCACCAUCGAUGAAUGCCGAUUUCGCCUUUUCCCGCCAUCUAGACCGAUCUGGAAUCUUAAUCUUGAAAUUGAGAUUUCGAUCAGUUCAGAAGGUUGCUUUUAAUACCAGACAAUCUCCUAGGGGUAUAUUACAAAUGUUUUCCCCCCUCUCUACAUUCAACCUCUAGGGGUAUUUAUACACUUUCCUACUGGACCGAGCCUUCAUUCACUGGUCAAGUGGGCCUGCUGGGCCUGGUCGAG
rnacentral:lncRNA from 1 species